GACGAACGCUGGCGGCGCGCUUAACACAUGCAAGUCGAGCGAUGAAAUUUCGACAGAUCCCUUCGGGGUGAAGAUGAAAUGGAUUAGCGGCGGACGGGUGAGUAACACGUGAGUAACCUGCCUUUGACAUUGGGAUAGCCUCGGGAAACUGGGAUUAAUACCAAAUGACACUAACUGAUCACAUGAUCAAUUAGUCAAAGAAAUUCGGUCAAAGAUGGACUCGCGGCUGAUUAGCUAGUUGGUGAGGUAACGGCCCACCAAGGCGACGAUCAGUAGCCGGCCUGAGAGGGUGAUCGGCCACAUUGGAACUGAGACACGGUCCAAACUCCUACGGGAGGCAGCAGUGGGGAAUAUUGCACAAUGGGGGAAACCCUGAUGCAGCGACGCCUCGUGAGCGAAGAAGGCCUUCGGGUCGUAAAGCUCUUUUAUGAGGGAAGAUAAUGACGGUACCUCAAGAAAAAGCCCCGGCUAACUACGUG
rnacentral:rRNA from 1 species